GCUUAACACAUGCCAGUCGAACGCUGAAGCUCCAGCUUGCUGGGGUGGAUGAGUGGCGAACGGGUGAGUAACACGUGAGUAACCUUCCCUUGACUCUGGGAUAAGCCCGGGAAACUGGGUCUAAUACCGGAUAUGACCUCCUGUCGCAUGGUGGGGGGUGGAAAGAUUUAUCGGUCUUGGAUGGACUCGCGGCCUAUCAGCUUGUUGGUGAGGUAAUGGCUCACCAAGGCGACGACGGGUAGCCGGCCUGAGAGGGUGACCGGCCACACUGGGACUGAGACACGGCCCAGACUCCUACGGGAGGCAGCAGUGGGGAAUAUUGCACAAUGGGCGCAAGCCUGAUGCAGCGACGCCGCGUGAGGGAUGACGGCCUUCGGGUUGUAAACCUCUUUCAGUAGGGAAGAAGCCUUCGGGUGACGGUACCUGCAGAAGAAGCGCCGGCUAACUACGUGCCAGCAGCCGCGGUAAUACGUAGGGCGCGAGCGUUAUCCGGAAUUAUUGGGCGUAAAGAGCUCGUANGCGGUUUGUCGCGUCUGCCGUGAAAGUCCGGGGCUUAACCCCGGAUCUGCGGUGGGUACGGGCAGACUAGAGUGCAGUAGGGGAGACCGGAAUUCCUGGUGUAGCGGUGAAAUGCGCAUAUAUCAGGAGGAACACCGAUGGCGAAGGCAGGUCUCUGGGCUGUUACUGACGCUGAGGAGCGAAAGCAUGGGGAGCGAACAGGAUUAGAUACCCUGGUAGUCCAUGCCGUAAACGUUGGGCACUAGGUGUGGGGGACAUUCCACGUUUUCCGCGCCGCAGCUAACGCAUUAAGUGCCCCGCCUGGGGAGUACGGCCGCAAGGCUAAAACUCAAAGGAAUUGACGGGGGCCCGCACAAGCGGCGGAGCAUGCGGAUUAAUUCGAUGCAACGCGAAGAACCUUACCAAGGCUUGACAUGUUCUCGAUCGCCACAGAGAUGUGGUUUCCCCUUUGGGGCGGGUUCACAGGUGGUGCAUGGUUGUCGUCAGCUCGUGUCGUGAGAUGUUGGGUUAAGUCCCGCAACGAGCGCAACCCUCGUUCCAUGUUGCCAGCGGGUUAUGCCGGGGACUCAUGGGAGACUGCCGGGGUCAACUCGGAGGAAGGUGGGGACGACGUCAAAUCAUCAUGCCCCUUAUGUCUUGGGCUUCACGCAUGCUACAAUGGCCGGUACAAUGGGUUGCGAUACUGUGAGGUGGAGCUAAUCCCAAAAAGCCGGUCUCAGUUCGGAUUGGGGUCUGCAACUCGACCCCAUGAAGUCGGAGUCGCUAGUAAUCGCAGAUCAGCAACGCUGCGG
rnacentral:rRNA from 1 species